CGAGCCAGGAAAAGAAAGCUCUGUUUGUGUUCAUGUUGUCACGGCCGUGCCAGGAGGAGAAUGGCUGUUAGGAGGAGGACGACGGCCGACCCGAGGGUUCGCCCUGCCGACCCCGUGAGCGUUUUGGCUUCUCUGGAUGCCCAGACUUCCCGGCUGAAUGUGGGAUGGACGUGUCUGAAGUUGUUCCUCAAAAGUGUCUCCUGCUCCGCGUCCUUCUCCGUGGAGAACACCCGGGAGGAGGCUCACCCAGAUCUUCAGCCCAGGAAGCAUGGAGGGUCACCAGGAGAGCAGCAGCAGCCACAAUCAUCAUAGGAGAGCCUGGUCCUGAUCCAAACAGCUCAUUGAUGCCCAACGCACACCCCCACCCCGCCAUUGACGUCCUCGGAAUAGUAACUGGAGCCAUUCAUGGACGUGUAGUCGCCAAUCAGUCGGUAACACAAUACACUCCUAAGGACGCUUGAAAAAUGCAUCACCUUUAUAAAAGACUUUCUAAAAUAAUCACGGAAAACACUUGAUUUUAAAAUAACACUUGCAAACCCCUAUGAGUUGGGAAAUUGUGUUAGAUGUAAAUAUAAACGGAAUACAAUGAUUUGCAAAUCCUUUUCAACCCAUAUUCAAUUGCAUGCACUACAAAGACAAGAUAAUUGCUGUUCAAACUCAUAAACUUUAUUUGUUUUGCAAAUAAUAAUUAACUUAGAAUUUCAUGGCUGCAACACAUGCCAAAGUAGUUGGGAAAGGGCAUGUUCACCACUGUGUUACAUCACCUUUUCGUUUAACAACACUCAAUAAACGUUUGGGAACUGAGGAAACUAAUUGUUGAAGCUUUGAAAGUGGAAUUCUUUCCCAUUCUUGUUUUAUGUAGAGCUUCAGUUGUUCAACAGUCCGGGGUCUCCGCUGUCAUAUUUUACGCUUCAUAAUGCGCCACACAUUUUUGAUGGGAGUCAGGUCUGGACUGCAGGCGGGCCAGGAAAGUACCCACACUCUUUUUUUACGAAGCCACGCUGUUGUAACACGUGCUGAAUGUGGCUUGGCAUUGUCUUGCUGAAAUAAGCAGGGGUGUUCAUGAAAAAGAUGGCGCUUAGAUGGCAGCAUAUGUCGUUCCAAAACCUGUAUGUACCUUUCAGCAUUAAUGGUGCCUUCACAGAUGUGUAAGUUACCCAUGCCUUGGGCACUAAUGCACCCCCAUGCCAUCCCAGAUGCUGGCUUUUCAACUUUGCGUCAAUAACAGUCUGGAUGGUUCGCUUCCCCUUUGGUCCGGAUGACACGAUGUCGAAUAUUUCCAAAAAACUAUUUGAAAUUUGGACUCGUAAGACCACAAAACACUUUUCCACUUUGCAUCAGUUCAUCUUAGAUGAUCUCGGGCCCAGAGAAGCCGGCGGCGUUUCUUGGAUGUUGUUGA